rnacentral:rRNA from 1 species
UACGUAGGGGGCUAGCGUUGUCCGGAAUCAUUGGGCGUAAAGAGCGUGUAGGCGGCCCGGUAAGUCCGCUGUGAAAGUCGGGGGCUCAACCCUCGAAUGCCGGUGGAUACUGUCGGGCUAGAGUGCGGAAGAGGCGAGUGGAAUUCCUGGUGUAGCGGUGAAAUGCGCAGAUAUCAGGAGGAACACCGAGUGCGAAGGCAGCUCGCUGGGACGUUACUGACGCUGAGACGCGAAAGCGUGGGGAGCGAACAGG